rnacentral:rRNA from 1 species
GACGAACGCUGGCGGCGUGCUUAACACAUGCAAGUGGAGCGACGAACCGGGGCUUGCCCCGGGGCAGAGCCGCGAACGGGUGAGUAACACGUGGGUAACCUGCCUCAAUGAUUGGGACAACCCGGGGAAACUCGGGCUAAUACCAAAUGUGUUCACUCCUUCUAAGGGGAGUGAGGAAAGGAAGCUUCGGCCUCCGCAUUGAGAUGGGCCCGCGGCCCAUUAGCUUGUUGGUGAGGUAACGGCUCACCAAGGCUUCGAUGGUAGCUGGUCUGAGAGGACGAUCAGCCACACUGGGACUGAGACACGGCCCAGACUCCUACAGGAGGCAGCAGUGGGGAAUCUUGCGCAAUGCGCGAAAGCGUGAUGCAGCAACGCCGCGUGGGGGAAGACGGCC